rnacentral:rRNA from 1 species
GACGAACGCUGGCGGCGUGCUUAACACAUGCAAGUCGUACGGAAAGGCCCUGCUUUUGUGGGGUGCUCGAGUGGCGAACGGGUGAGUAACACGUGAGCAACCUGCCCUUGACUUUGGGAUAACUUCAGGAAACUGGGGCUAAUACCGGAUAGGAGCUCCUGCUGCAUGGUGGGGGUUGGAAAGUUUCGGCGGUUGGGGAUGGACUCGCGGCUUAUCAGCUUGUUGGUGGGGUAGUGGCUUACCAAGGCUUUGACGGGUAGCCGGCCUGAGAGGGUGACCGGCCACAUUGGGACUGAGAUACGGCCCAGACUCCUACGGGAGGCAGCGGUGGGGAAUAUUGCACAAUGGGCGGAAGCCUGAUGCAGCAACGCCGCGUGCGGGAUGACGGCCUUCGGGUUGUAAACCGCUUUCGCCUGUGACGAAGCGUGAGUGACGGUAAUGGGUAAAGAAGCACCGGCUAACUACGUG